rnacentral:rRNA from 1 species
AACGAACGCUGGCGGCAUGCCUAACACAUGCAAGUCGAAGGAGACUUCGGUCGAAUGAUUUCGAGGAUAGUGGCGGGCGGGUGAGUAACGCGUGAGCAACCUGCCUUUGUGAGGGGGAUAACACAGGGAAACUUGUGCUAAUACCGCAUGACGCAUACUGAUUGCAUAUUUGGUAUGUUAAAGGAGAAAUCCGCACAAAGAUGGGCUCGCGUCUGAUUAGAUAGUUGGUGAGGUAACGGCUCACCAAGUCGACGAUCAGUAGCCGGACUGAGAGGUUGAACGGCCACAUUGGAACUGAGAUACGGUCCAG